rnacentral:rRNA from 3 species
UUGAAGAGUUUGAUCAUGGCUCAGAUUGAACGCUGGCGGCAGGCCUAACACAUGCAAGUCGAGCGGUAGCACAGAGAGCUUGCUCUCGGGUGACGAGCGGCGGACGGGUGAGUAAUGUCUGGGAAACUGCCUGAUGGAGGGGGAUAACUACUGGAAACGGUAGCUAAUACCGCAUAAUGUCGCAAGACCAAAGUGGGGGACCUUCGGGCCUCAUGCCAUCAGAUGUGCCCAGAUGGGAUUAGCUAGUAGGUGGGGUAACGGCUCACCUAGGCGACGAUCCCUAGCUGGUCUGAGAGGAUGACCAGCCACACUGGAACUGAGACACGGUCCAGACUCCUACGGGAGGCAGCAGUGGGGAAUAUUGCACAAUGGGCGCAAGCCUGAUGCAGCCAUGCCGCGUGUGUGAAGAAGGCCUUCGGGUUGUAAAGCACUUUCAGCGGGGAGGAAGGCGAUAAGGUUAAUAACCUUGUCGAUUGACGUUACCCGCAGAAGAAGCACCGGCUAACUCCGUGCCAGCAGCCGCGGUAAUACGGAGGGUGCAAGCGUUAAUCGGAAUUACUGGGCGUAAAGCGCACGCAGGCGGUCUGUCAAGUCGGAUGUGAAAUCCCCGGGCUCAACCUGGGAACUGCAUUCGAAACUGGCAGGCUAGAGUCUUGUAGAGGGGGGUAGAAUUCCAGGUGUAGCGGUGAAAUGCGUAGAGAUCUGGAGGAAUACCGGUGGCGAAGGCGGCCCCCUGGACAAAGACUGACGCUCAGGUGCGAAAGCGUGGGGAGCAAACAGGAUUAGAUACCCUGGUAGUCCACGCCGUAAACGAUGUCGAUUUGGAGGUUGUGCCCUUGAGGCGUGGCUUCCGGAGCUAACGCGUUAAAUCGACCGCCUGGGGAGUACGGCCGCAAGGUUAAAACUCAAAUGAAUUGACGGGGGCCCGCACAAGCGGUGGAGCAUGUGGUUUAAUUCGAUGCAACGCGAAGAACCUUACCUGGUCUUGACAUCCACAGAACUUAGCAGAGAUGCUUUGGUGCCUUCGGGAACUGUGAGACAGGUGCUGCAUGGCUGUCGUCAGCUCGUGUUGUGAAAUGUUGGGUUAAGUCCCGCAACGAGCGCAACCCUUAUCCUUUGUUGCCAGCGGUCCGGCCGGGAACUCAAAGGAGACUGCCAGUGAUAAACUGGAGGAAGGUGGGGAUGACGUCAAGUCAUCAUGGCCCUUACGACCAGGGCUACACACGUGCUACAAUGGCAUAUACAAAGAGAAGCGACCUCGCGAGAGCAAGCGGACCUCAUAAAGUAUGUCGUAGUCCGGAUUGGAGUCUGCAACUCGACUCCAUGAAGUCGGAAUCGCUAGUAAUCGUAGAUCAGAAUGCUACGGUGAAUACGUUCCCGGGCCUUGUACACACCGCCCGUCACACCAUGGGAGUGGGUUGCAAAAGAAGUAGGUAGCUUAACCUUCGGGAGGGCGCUUACCACUUUGUGAUUCAUGACUGGGGUGAAGUCGUAACAAGGUAACCGUAGGGGAACCUGCGGUUGGAUCACCUCCUU